UACGGAGGGUGCAAACGUUGCUCGGAAUCAUUGGGCGUAAAGCGCACGUAGGCGGUCGGCUAUGUCGGAUGUGAAAGCCUCGGGCUUAACCCGAGAAGGGCAUCCGAAACUGGCCGGCUUGAGUACGGAAGAGGGUCUCGGAAUUCCCGGUGUAGAGGUGAAAUUCGUAGAUAUCCGGAGGAACACCGGUGGCGAAGGCGGCUUCCUGGACCGACACUGACGCUGAGGCGCGAAAGCUAGGGGAGCAAACGGG
rnacentral:rRNA from 1 species